GGAUAGCUGAGUGUUCCCUCCUCUGACUCGAACAGCAAAUGAGUGGAUUUGUUUUUCCAAAACCACUUGAAGAGGAAUUCUAAAUUGUAGUUGGAAGAUGGAAAUAUCCAGGUUUCAUCCAGAGUAUCCUGCAAGCAGAAACGAAGCAACAAGCACAACAACCUUAAGAAUGAGCUCAAACAUAUUCCUCUACCAAGGAAUCAGGAGGGUGACGAAAUGGAAAGCAGGCUGUUUACAGAGUACUUCUUCAGCCCUAGUAGAAGUAUAUAUGCUGCAGUGAAGUUCUGCGGUCAUUCCAUACAGAUUUGCCAUCAGGAUUGGCAUCGCAGCUUUGUGAUAUCCUGAGUCUGAUUCAUGGAAAGGUCACCAAAGGUUGUUAAGAACGGCUGAAGGACAUUGCUGGCAUCCAAAUGCUCACAUGCUCUGAUGCCAGAGAGAAUGGAAAGAAGACAAAGGGAGAAAUAAAAUGAAGGUAUGAAGAUGCAUGGUGACAAGUGAUUUUGAAGUGAUGGAGGAGAGUUCACAUCAAGGUACUUUGGGAAGGAGACUAAGCAUCACUUCAGAAGAUGAUUCUUGCAGAAUGGGAAACUUCCUAUGCAUUUUCAACAAAUGAAAAAUAUCUUCACUGGCAGUUUGCACUGGAAAGGCUGCUCUGCAGUUUGGCGCUGACAGCUCUCAAGUCCUAUUGCAAACAAAGAUUUUGGAGAGGGGGACCUCUUUACUUUCAAGAUCCUGGGGCCAGGGCUAGAAAAGGCACAAAGGGCAUUCAGUUUGUUUCCCUGCUUCCUGUGGAUCAUUAAUAACACUGGAGAGCGAAGUAUUGCUUUUGUGCUUACAGCAUAGCUGGGAGCCUAGUACAGCAGCAAGAAAGUGACAGAACAGUUAACAUCUUUAACUAGAAGAUAGGAACUGCUUGUGCUUGCUGCCUGCACCUUGUUUUCCUAUCACACUGUCUAGCCAAUUACUUUAAUUAAAGUUCAGUCUGGCCUUUUUUGACAACUCAGCCUGUAAUGAUGAAAGAUUUUUAUAAUCUCUGAAAUAAGGACAGCUGCAACUUGUUUUGAAAAGGAAGUGCUCAUGGGAAUAAUACAAUGAAAAUGAUCCCCAAUAGAAAAAAGUUCAGUGAUCAGAGUUGUUACUUAAAGUAGGCUCUAUAAAAGCCACUUCCAGGACCCUCACCAGAACCCAGAGACUUACUAAGAUUGAGACACAGGUACUUGUGUACCUGCCACAUCUUACCUUUCUGUGCUAUUUCUACCCCACAUAUACAAGACAACACUCGCUGUUAAUUAGGCUUCAUAGUUCCCCAUAUUCAUUUGCUACAACUGUAUGCUUAUGAAAGUAUGAGCUCUCUGGAAAACCUGGAUUAUGAUGAAAUAAGCUUGAAAACAUUAUAUUUGGCCUUUGGUUCCUGGAUGUGACACAUCUAUAAACUCCUGUUGUCAUUGCAAUACAGUAUCUCU
rnacentral:lncRNA from 7 species